GAGAAUGAAAGAGUAAGAAGGCAGCAAGCAGCAGGUCCUCUCAUCACCCUGUGGGUGCAGCCACUCCCUGCACCAACAACAGCAGAGCAGAGGGACCCCACAGCUGCUCCAGGAGGAGGUGGGUGACCAUCAUCAUUCCCAUGAUCCAUUCCCAUCACCAUCACCAUUCCUCCUGUCCUCAGCAAAAAGGAAGGUGAGCCCCACCUGAAAAUUUCCCCACAAGUAUUUUAUGCCCCCACUAAUAAUGUAUCAGGUUCAUGUGUGAUUUGUGGCUCUCUCUUGCCUGUGCUGUACUAAGAGAAGCUGCCUGUGAAGGUAUUACAGUUCUCUGUCCUGAAUUAGCUGAGAUCAUGUCCAAAGAUGACUUCUGGGAUAAACAAAACUGGAGAGAGAUGUUUGAUGAGGGCAUACAGUGAUAGGACAAGGUGCAAAUGCUUGGUAAGAGUUUGGUGGUAUCUGUUUUCAGCAGAUACUGUCCUGGAUUGGCUCACUUGCUAAUUGUUCAUUAAGCAGCCAUUUUGUAUCAGCCAUAAUGUUAAGUUUUCAAACUCAAAAUUAGAUUGAUGAGUCUGUAAUAAUGAAGUAACUAAACAGUGGUUUUGUACCAAUACCUGUGAUAUCUAAGCAAUAUUUCAAGACUUAAGAGGAAGAAAAUUAUUACACCAGUUGAUUUCCUGGCCAGACCCUUUAAAAUUCUUAGAUGCACAUUGUUUGGACAUCAUUAUUUAAAUACUGUGUUUUUCAUUACUAGUUAGCUUCAGCUCCAAGGUACUGUUGAAAUAGAGUAUUUCACCAUCAUAUGCUAUUUCUUAUCUUGGGAAAAAGAUAAGCAGCUCCAAAAUGUUUACUGACCUUAUUCUCUUUGUCUCCAUUAUUUAUGAAAUCAUUAUUUUGGAAAACAGCAUACCCAUGCCUUGGUGUAAGGCUCUUUGCAUUCCUGGUGGAUUUAAAAUCCCUUUGGCCUUGUCCUGAUGACCAUGGGUUUUUUCCUUAGGCCUUGUUUCUUGCUUUUUCCUGCUCUGUGACAGAGGUUUUUCUUCAUUUGUUAGCUUUUUUUGUUUACCUUUCACUCCUCUCCUAGGCAGAUGUUUUCACUGGCAUAACUUUGUUACUAAUAGCAGGACUGAACAGUUUUCUCAGCUCUCUUGUAAAUUGUUGUACAAAUGUUUAGAAUAUUCAGGAUCUGUUUUCUGUUUAUGUUCUUUCUGCCACGUGGCUUGGCUCAGAACCAUGCUCAGCCUCAUGGAACAGUCCCUCCUGACACGUAUAGGAUGUUGGUUUGCAUUUUACAUCUGAAGUCCCCUCUCUUUCUUCACAGAACACAGCAAAUUUCUUUUUCCUUUUCUAUGCAAAAGUUUGAUCUUAUUUCAGCUUCCAGGCUUCAGAUGGUAAUUAAGGAGCUGGAUGAAAGUCCUGGAUUUUUCCUGUGUUUAAUGUUAUCGACAAAGGUUUGGAAUAAAACGAGCGUGUCAUGAAACUCGUAAUUUCCAUGGCUUGCAGCUUCAUACUGCCAGCAUCUCAGAAUCUGGCAAUAAGUGCCCUUGGAAAAGCCAAGAAAAACCCUGAAUUGUUACAAGCCUGGGCAGAUAGCCCAGAUUUUCCUCAGUGUUUUCUUUUAUUGAAAGUAAAGGAUCCGAAAGAGUGAUUUCCAUGCUGAAAUAAAACAGUUCAGUGCUGAAUACAGAGCUCUCAUUUUCAAAUGAAGUUGCCAGCCCUUGAAGUCAUUCCUUGAUCUAAUUAUAUGGAUUUUCCAGUCUUUGUUAGGUAUUUCCUUCUUUGGAAGGAAAAUACCCUUGAUUGUCACAGUGGUGUAAGCUCUAUCCGUGGAUGUCAGUGUGGGAAAAGCUGUUCUGCUCUCGAAUACAGAGGGACUGAUGAUUCUGGCAGAGGCUCUGGCAUGUCCUAAAGCCAAAAGGAUUAUUCAUCCACCUUGACACCAGGGGAAAAGAAUUACAGGGCUAUCAAAGUGAGCAGGAAAUGUGUGAUGCCAAAGGAAAGAGAUGAGAGCACAGCAGUGUCUCUCAGCACAGCACAUCCCUGAGGGUCCGAGGCAGAGGCACCUCUGCUUCCUCUGCUGCUCUGGGGAACCUCCAUCCAACCUGAAAUGGAGCUGGGCUUACAAACUGCAUCACUCAGGGCCUUGAGGAAUGGCCUGGCUGCCAGCAGUGCCUCCUGUGUCCUCCCAGCUUGGAAAAGCAGGCAGCUGCCCCUCUUUGGCUCUGUGGGGAUGGACACAGGGGGGCUGCGUCUGGCCUGAUGGGGUCUGAGUGGGAUAAUGGGGCUGGGGAUGUUCCAUCCUGGGCUGGGCACCAGCAAUGUCAGAGGGCUGAGCUGGGCAGGAGGAAGAGGAGAUGGCAAGAUGGGCAGCCAUAAAUAGGGAAUGAGCUGGAAGAACCAGGGGAGCACAGCCUGCAAAGCCCAAGAGACAAUGAAAGGCUGGAAAGCUGGAAGGGGCCAGAGCUGCCCCUCCAGGGUGCUCAUGGCACCCUGAUGAGCAUCCAGGCAGGAGUCUGACCUGUGCUGCUGCACACUAGGGCAGAGGGCCCAGUCCUCUGCCUGGUUUUCAUUUAUUUGAGAGGAGGAUUCUGAAAUAUGGCCAAGAACAGCUGCAAUAAAAGCAGUCAAGUGAUGAUAAAAAAAAUAAAUUGCUAGCCCUUCAUUCCCAGGUGAAUGAUAUGAAACCUUGAGCCCAUCCUGGCAAUUCUUUUUGCAGCAUUCAUCACAUCCAUCAGUUCUGCUCAGGGCCAGAGUAGGAAAAAGUCCUCUGGAUCCUGUGCUCAGAUUCAGUCAAGAGGCCUUGGUGAUUCUGGCACGCUGCUUUGUGCCUUGAGGAAUGGUUGUUUGAUCCAGCCAGCCCUGGGAAUAGCAGCUGAGAUAAUCAAGCUGAAAACAUGAUGCACUGAGCAUGGGGGCACAAAACCAGCAAUGAGCUCUGCUUCCCACUCAUCCCAGCCUGGCUCACAGAAACAUCCAUCCCACCCAAGCUGUGGGGUGUCCUUGGAUCAGCCUCUCCCUGCUGCAGGGCAGUGCUCCCAGCUCCCUCCUGACCCCUCACUGCUGAUGCUGGAGCUGCCACGGGAUGGUUUGGCUUGGGCAGCAGAGGGACACUGUGUACCCACGGAACGUGUGGGGCUGUGGCUGCAGAUGGAGGUGUCCCAUCUGUCUGUCCAUAAAAUGAGCUAAAGAAAGUGUGGGGUAUCCAGCACUGAUGGGUUUGAUGGGGAUUUUUUGUAAUCAUCAGAGAAGAUUGUAUAAUCUUGGUGGUGGGGAUACUUUGAGGCAGUGCUUCAGGUUUGGGAUAUUUGUUUUCAUUUCAUGUUUGCUGAAUGCAUUCCACAAGAACAAAGUCAUCUUGUAGCAGCCAGGGCUGGAUACUGAGACCUGCCCCAGCUCUGGCCUGCAAGGGGAAAAGGCUGCACACGUGUCCCUCUCCUGCCUCAUUUACAGGAGUUUUUCCACUCAGAUUCCCUCAGCAAGAGCAAAGCAAACUCCCAGGAUCCUCCUCACCUGGUUCCUCUGCCUCAGGAAAAAUCCUGACCCUGUUCAAGAAGCAAUAAUGACAUUCCCUCUGCCCAUGCUGCAGCUGGAGCUGUGUGGAACAGAUGUGUGCAGGUGAGCUUUCAGCCACCAGAGCAGGAUGCUGACACCAAGAACUCUGCAUUGCCUGCAGCCCUGGGGGCUGCAUCUUCCCUCUGGCACCCUUGGUCCCAUCCCCUGCACCCCUGAGGGCUGUGAGAGUGUUUGACUCCUGUGCCUGCACCACUUUUAACUUAAAUGUCUUGCUGAACUGUUUAAAGGGGAAGAGUAGCUCUGUGUGUUGGAGCAGGGGAAGAAGCAGUGUUCUACUUCUGUUUGGGUGUCAUGUAAUGGCCUUUAUUCCUCCAUGGGUUUGGGGUUUGUUUCUUUCUUUUUCUUUCUUUCUUUCUUUCUUUCUUUGCUUUUCUACUGCCCCACUCAUAGAUGAGAUGACCCUUUAUCUAUUGAUGAGGUCAAUAACCUUAUCAAAGUCAUGGCUUCAAGUGGCCCUGGUGUUGAACAACUCCUCUCUGCAUUUCAGAGUGCUUGUGAAGAGGAGAGUGCUUUCAUUUGGAGUUACAGGGUCAUAAAGUGAUGCUGAAUGAUUUGAUCUUUUUGAUUAGAAGACAGAGAUGGCUGAAAUACAAAGACCCCUUUUGGCAUGUUGGUAAGUGCAAAGCCCUAGAAAAAUGAAAUAACCAAAACACUUGCUGUGCUGCCUUACCAGAUAAAAACUCAUCCUAUUCAGCUGCUUACAGGUUCUGAAGUCUAUAAACAAACUGAGAGCAGGCUGUAGGAUUUAAUUAGCUGAGUGUCUUCAGAGCUGUCCCAGGAACUGGGUUCCUGAACCAGAACCAAGGGAGCACAGGGAGAAAGAGCUGCCCAGUGCAGCACUGCAGCAUCACUGCUGCUGGUAUUUGCUGCAGCACCUGGAGGCAAAAGCUCUGUUGAGUCAAAUACUGAGGAAGCAGGUAACAAAAAUGCAGGCCCUGCUCCAAAAACAAUUUCCAACUUUCCUGUCAGAGCUGCUUUUCAGGGCAUUUUUAAAUUUUUUUCCAGGCCAGAGCAAACGUAUGGAUGAAAUCCAUGCUGUUACAGGACAGGGUGCCUUAUUUGUCUGCCUGCCUCAGUCCUCAAAUAUGUAGUUUGCUCAGCUUCCCAGCUGGCUGGUCCCAUUUUAUUGCAGUUUCUCCUGCUGGCACUGCCAGCCUUCCCUUUGCAAUGCCAGUCACGUUGGGUCACUGCUGCAAAUGGCUGCUGUGGUCGCCUCCUUCACCUUCCAACCCAGUGAGAAACUUCUGUGAAAUGCAGAAACUCAAACACAGAGGAGCUGCAGAGCUGCUGUGUGAGGCUGCUGAGGUGUCUGUUUGCACAUGCAGGGGUCCCAGAGAGGAACUGGCCCCUCCUUGCUGGGGAUUGCAGUCCCACGGGAGCCCUGCUGAGCCUGGGCAGGAGCAGCUGCCUGCAGGACUGAGCUCUGGGAAGGAGCUCCCCCUGCUCCCCUGGCCCUGCUGGCCCAGUGUAAGCACUCAGGGCACAGUUUGGGGCUGCAGCUCCUGAAGGCAGUGCUUGAUGCUCUCUGUCCCUCCUGGGCAGGGAGCAGUGCCUGCAGAGCACCGAGCUGAGCACUGAGCUGUGCCAGGCACAUGGGCUGGGCCCCCCACACCUCUAACAGGUGCUCAGCCACCUGCAAGGUAGGAGAAGGUAAAGCCCGAUGACUUUCUGCAGGCUCAGCAGCCUCCAGAGGUACUGUCCUACCUGCAGAUGCAGUCCUGCUGCUGGCAGUCUGAUUUUCAGAGUGGCAGAGGGCUCAGCAGCUCAUCUCACACCCUGAGUGCUCUGGGGAGAGGACAGAUCCAUCCCGAGUAGCCAAGGUAGGACCAGCCUUGGAAUGUCAGGAGAAAUGUGUGACUUUGGGCAGCCACCCUCAGGCUGGAUGCUGCUCUGGAGCUGCAUCAAACGUGGCCAGAACUUCAGUGACCCCUCUCUUACUACUGCAGGUCAGCUAUGCCAAAACAAAUCAUUCAAAUUCUCCUUUGGAUGGAACUUUUAUUCCUUCUGGCAGACUGAAUGGAGGCUCCU